ensembl:lncRNA LINC01378 long intergenic non-protein coding RNA 1378
GAGGACAAGACCCUGGCACUUAAUAGAAUAGAAGUGACUGAAAAUUGAAUGAUGAUUCCUGUGGAGAGUAUAAAAUAGUGGCAGAACUGAACCUCAAAUCUAUAAAAUCUCCCUCAACAGGAUCAAACUCUGCUGCUUCUUCACCAAGUCUCGAGUAU